UGAGCCCCUUGAACUUGAAGAACUUGUA
rnacentral:piRNA from 1 species